AUCAAAUUGAGUGAAAGGAAAGCUCAAAACGUUGACAGCAUGUUUGGUUGGGUAGCCAAUACACCCCAUAUCGGUGGGCCCCACUAAUCCCUCUUUAAUACGUUGUUUGGUGGAUUGUAUUACCAUUACGUCCCAAAUCAGUUUCCUUCUCUAAUACACCCGGUCCCGUAAUAGAUAUUCCUCCCAUCCAGCGCCGAUUAGAGACUCCUUACCCAUUUCUUAUUUUCGUUUCCUUUUUCUGCCCUCAUAGAUUUUUGCUUCUUCUUCCAUCGGUAUUGCAAUCUGUCCUCAUUUCUUCUACUUUCAUAACAAAUCCUCAACAUUGUCUUCAUCGGAGGCCGAUUUCAGCGACAAGCGAUGAAUGUUGUUCAGUUCAACUUAUUGAUGGAGAUGGUUCAUUCAAUGGUACUGGAAUCAAAAGUUUUAUCAAGGAAGUGAAACUUCAUGAAUGCGGUCUGUCAUAUGCUGUGGUUUCCAUCAUGGGACCGCAAAGCAACGUGGCUACUCCAAAGCAGAUUAGGGAACUUAUGCAAGUAGAUGGCUUAACCAAUGAUGAAGUUAAGAGUCAUUCGUUCAUUUCCCGUUGUCUUGUUUCAGUUCAUUAUUUUGGUCUGAAACUUCUUGUAGUUAGAAUUUGUCAAUGGAAGCAGCCAUGUUUUUGUAGCUGUAUUCCUUUCUUCCAUUGAUGAAGCUUAAGCUCAGCAUUUUGCUUGACUUGCUGUUAAUUUAAGUCUCAUUGGUUUGAAGUGCAAUAGUGUAAUGAGUUUCAUUGGCUGCCUUGUUAGUGUCUUUUGUUUUUUCUGCAUGUAAGUAGAUUCGAAUCACUGUCUUUGAUACAAGUUGAAGCCGGAGUUUAGCUUUGCUGGUUCAUACAGUCACCUUUACAAGAUGGUGUCCAAUAUAAAUCAAUGAAAUACUUUUCAUAUGAUACAUAAUGAAAUUUUAUUGCAGCAAUGGUUUACCGGUGUUAAAGGGUGAUGAUUUGAAGCAACCUAAGGUAGUAAGUACCCGAGGUGAAGGCCGAACUUCAAUAAGCUAAGAAAAGAGGCCACUUUGUUAUUAUUAUGCUUUGUUAACUACUUUGUUUAUGUUCAUCAAUUGCCAAGCUUCCAGAAAACUAGACUGUAGAUAGACUUUCAAGACUCUAUGAAUUUGAUAUAAUUUAUGGAUACAAAUUAGUGCUACGAGUUCACAGUUUGGCAAAA